GAUGUCUUUUUAUUCCAACCUUCAUCUCCUCUCCGUUUUCUCUCUCAAUUUCAGACCACAUAUUUGCCUCACACACAAUCGGUCAACACCAGCUUUCCUCUGUCAAUCUCCGUUCACUUCAGCAAACCAACGCCCAACUCUUCUUCACUGUCUUGAUCUCUCCUCUUAUUUCUUCACAGAACACACGCCACUCAAGAGCCACAAUGACAGCAACAAAAACCAGCUGCACUAGCAGCAACACAGCAGUGGGAUGUCCAUGACAGCUCUCUUUCACCCUCACGGUUUCUCUUCUCCUCAGCCAUCUCAAGCUCCACUUCCGGCCACCAUAAGCAAGAACCACCACAGCUGGUGUUAGAAACCUGAAACAGCAACAAGUGAUGAGCAACUCAGGCCCUUGAAGCGGCUGAAACAUCACAGACAACAAUACAAAGUGGCAGCAGCAGGGGCGGAGUUAGACAGCAGCAAAAGUGACGAUUUAUAGUCGACUCGACAUAUUUGAGGAAAAUUCUGGAAAAGUUAAGUCGUCCAGAUAAUUUUGAUGCAACAGCUGAAAAUCAGGGAUAGGGAAUACUUGCAAAUUUUGUGGAUCAUAGAAGACUAUGUACCCUAGGGUACAAUGACUUUUGGAGAGUCUUUUGGUAGCAUUAAUAUUUUAUGUGGCUUUGUGAGUGCAUAAUUGAGGACGUGAAGUUUUGGGAGCCAAAAGAACAGUAGAAAGCAGCAUAAGCAUUAGUGCAGCAACGGCACCUGCAGUAGCUGCCAUGUGUACUUGGAACCACCAGCUUAGCCCCUACCUUUGAGCUGUAAUUUCUCGGGUCACACUUUUUGGUUGAUAAUCCAAAACCUUAGUUCAUUUGGCUGCCUGGGAUCGAGGCUUUGAAGCUCAAUUUGCAACCGCAGAACAAAUAGCGUCGACACUUUUCCCCCGCCCUUUUCAGCAAUCCAAAAAUUCAUCAAUCUGCAUCGAAGUUUAUUUUGAUCAUAUCAAAUUUAGUAUUCAGAGAUUUGCUUUUUGGAAGGAGUACGUGAGCUAGCUAGCUAAGCUUUUCCAUGAUGUGUGAUGGAAACGUUAUGGAUCAACAAGGAAUCUUUCCUGCUCCAUCAUCUCCUCAAACGGAAGUUUACUGGGACGCAAUUGAUGAUGCUGAAAAUGAGGCUAUUGAGAGUUAGAAAUUAGAGUUGCUCGGUGGUCCUGAGCAAGAGCUUAACUUUUCCUGCUCGUUCAUCGUGAGCUAGGAAUUGGUCUUGCCCAGUGGUCUCGAGAAAGAGCUUAAUUUGUCUUGUAAUGUGAUUGCGAGCUAGGAAGGGGCCUUGCUCGAUGGUCCCUAACAAUGGCUUAACUUCUUCUCUACUUGUUGAUUGCAAGCUAGGAAGUGACCUUGCUUAGUGGUCCCGAUCAAGGGCUUUUAAUUCUCUUUCUAUCUUGGCAAUUGCGUUGACUCUUGAAGAGAUUGACCUUGCUUGGUGUUCCUGAGCAAUGACAUAUUUUCUUUCUUGCUCAUUGGUCGCGAGCUAGGAAGUGGACUUGCUCGAUGGUCCCGAUCAAAGGCUAAAUUUUCUUUUGCCUUCGGUAAUUGUUAGGAGGCUUGUAGAGAUCAGCCUUGCUCGGUGUUCCAGAGCAGGGGCUUAGUUUUUCUUGCUCCUUGAUCGCAAACUUGGAAUUGACCUUGCUCGGUGAACUCUAGCAAAAUCUUAUUUUCUUUAUUCGAUAAUCGCGAGGUCUUCUACUGUGAUUCCGACCUAUGUCAUUUGCUUGGUAAAUGUGAGCAUCUUUCCAAGGGACUUUGCUAAAUGAAUUGGAGGCUGCUGAUUGCGACCU